rnacentral:rRNA from 1 species
GCAGCAGUGAGGAAUAUUGGUCAAUGGGGGCAACCCUGAACCAGCCAUGCCGCGUGCAGGAAGACGGCUCUAUGAGUUGUAAACUGCUUUUGUACGAGGGUAAACGGUGGUACGUGUACCACCCUGAAAGUAUCGUACGAAUAAGGAUCGGCUAACUCCGUGCCAGCAGCCGCGGUAAUACGGAGGAUUCAAGCGUUAUCCGGAUUUAUUGGGUUUAAAGGGUGCGUAGGCGGUUUGAUAAGUUAGAGGUGAAAUCUCAGGGCUCAACCCUGAAAUUGCCUCUGAUACUGUCAGACUAGAGAAUAGUUGCGGUAGGCGGAAUGUAUGGUGUAGCGGUGAAAUGCUUAGAGAUCAUACAGAACCCCGAUUGCGAAGGCAGCUUACCAAACUAUGUCUGACGUUGAGGCACGAAAGCGUGGGUAGCAAACAGGAUUAGAUACCCUGGUAGUCCACGCAGUAAACGAUGAUAACUCGUUGUCGGCGAUAUGACCGUCGGUGACCAAGCGAAAGCGAUAAGUUAUCCACCUGGAAACUCAAAGGAAUUGACGGGGGCCCGCACAAGCGGAGGAACAUGUGGUUUAAUUCGAUGAUACGCGAGGAACCUUACCCGGGCUUGAAAGUUACUGAAUGACUCUGAAAGGAGUCAGUCCUACGGGACAGGAAACUAGGUGCUGCAUGGUUGUCGUCAGCUCGUGCCGUGAGGUGUCGGGUUAAGUCCCAUAACGAGCGCAACCCCUGUCGUUAGUUGCCAUCAGGUCAUGCUGGGCACUCUGGCGAGACUGCCGGUGUAAGCCGAGAGGAAGGUGGGGAUGACGUCAAAUCAGCACGGCCCUUACGUCCGGGGCUACACACGUGUUACAAUGGU